rnacentral:rRNA from 1 species
UACGUAGGCAGCAAGCGUUGUUCGGAGUUACUGGGCGUAAAGGGUGCGUCGGCGGUCCUAUAAGUAUGGUGUGAAAUCUCCCGGCUUAACUGGGAGGGUGCGCUAUAGACUGUGGGACUAGAGUGUGGGAGAGGAAAGUGGAAUUCCUGGUGUAGCGGUGAAAUGCGUAGAUAUCAGGAGGAACACCGGUGGUGUAAACGGCUUUCUGGACCAUAACUGACGCUGAGGCACGAAAGCGUGGGUAGCAAACAGG